rnacentral:rRNA from 1 species
GACGAACGCUGGCGGCGUGCUUAACACAUGCAAGUCGAACGGAAAGGCCCUGCUUUUGUGGGUUUCUUGAGUGGCGAACGGGUGUGUAACACGUGUGUAUCCUGCCCUUGUCUUUGGGAUAACUUCUGGAAACUGCGGCUAUUACCGGAUAUGAUCUCCUGCUGCAUGUUGGGCGUUGGAAAGUUUCGGCCGUUGGGUCUGUACUCGCGGCUUAUCCGCUUGUUUGUGGAGUAGUUGCUUUCCAAGUCUUUGACGGGUAGCCGGCCUGAGAGGGUUACCGGCGACAUUAGGACUGAGAGACGGACCAGACUCGUACGGGAGGCAGAAGGGGAGAAUAUGACACAGUAGGCGGAAGCGAGAGACAGCAACGCCGCGUGCGGGAUAACGGGCUACGGGGUAAAAACAGAUUUCGAAUGUGACGAGGAGUGAGUGACGGUAAUGGGUAAAAAAGCACCGGCUAACUACGUG